GGUUUUUAUUCAUCCCCGCACGCCCCUCCACGAUCCCUACACAGGUCGCCGCACACCGCCGCCGCCGCCGCUGCGAAUCCCCGGGGACGCCGCACGCCGCCGCCGCCGUGAAUCCCCAGGGACGCCGCACGCCACCGCCGUCGCGAAUAACCAGAGACGCCGCUCGCCACCGUCGCGAAUCCCUAGGGAUGUCGCCGCCACCGCCACGGAUCCCCAAGGGCGUGGUCGCAUUGCCCUGAUUGGAGGAGACCCUGCCGGCCUUGCCUUGUUUGGAGGACCGUGCGCGUCAAUCCCGACCUCCGCUUUCCCCCUUUUCCAUCGAGGAUCGCCGCCGCUACUUUGUCUUCUAUCUCUCCGGAUCCCCAUCGGCACCUGCUGGAUGGUGCUCCGGGAACAGGGCCGCACGGAGGCCCUCCUCCCGUAGGAUGUGCAGACGCGGCGCGCCUUGCAGCGGCUGUUCAGGAUGAGCGUGGGCGCGACAACCUUGUCCCAGUCGACGAUGGCGGCGGCGAACACCGAUGCUCCUUCUGGUCCUCUACCUCCAAGGACGCGCACCAGUACAGCUCAGGCACCCCCGUCCCCAAAUCCCGUCCACCCAUCCGACGUUGUCCAGCUCAUCCUCACGCUCGUGGAUUCGCCUCCUCCUAUACGCGACACUUGAAACACGGACGUGUCUGAAGCAGAACCUCCGUCUUCUAUCUCAACGUCGGCGGCCCGACGGCGCCGAAUCCUUAUCGACGCCCGUCGGCGGCCCGGUGACGCGACCAGAUCACUGCAAAUUGCUCCAUUCAUGUCAGCAGCCUAAUCAGGUGGAGGUAGUCGUGCUGGCGCCACUGUUUUGCUUCGUGCUGAUGUGGUAUAAAAGUGCCUCCUCGGCAGAUGAGGACCUGAGCGUGGCCGUGCUAAUGAGGAUGCAGGAUCCACCGCCACCGGCCAGUCCGAGUGCGUUGUUGUUUUCAUUCUUUGGGUCCUAGGGAUUUCGAAAUCAGGUGAUUGCAGAGAACUUGGCAGGCAGAUCAAUUACGAGGAGGUCAAGGCUGAGCUGGAGUGGGGUGGGCCCCAACAUGAAGGAGCUGGAGAUAUCUCUAUUUUUUUCAGUCAUUAUUCAGGCUCUAAGCAUCCCCUUUCCCUAUACCACAUUACUUGAUAUUACUAAAUUCAGUACUCUUACUCAACUGUGAACAAGUUCAUGUGGUAAGUAGGAUCAACAAGAGUUGGCUGGCAACUGCUAUGUAUAUAUUAUUAUGGAUCAGCCAAGGUGGUUAAAUUUUAAUUUUUUUCCUUUUUCUUAAUUUAUGCCCUUAAGUUUAUGCUGUUAAAUGCAUACACAUAACUUAGUUCCAGAUUUAACAAGAGUACAUUUUACAAUGAACUUCAUAGCUGAUGUUGAUCAUAAUUAGUAAGUGUACAAAGCAUUUCAAGGAAUUUCUGUUUUGUGCAUAUUGUAUAUUGCAGACUUGCAGUGAAGUAGUGCCAUCUAAGUACCAGAUGUAUGUUAUUUUCAAAUAAGCUUUUCUUAAAAUGGAAAAUACUAAAAAGCAAAUUGUGCCACACCGUGCAAUUAAGGUGCCUUUUACUAGAAACUCAAUGCAACUUCUUGUUAUUUUCAAAUAAGCUUUUCUUAAAAUGGAAAAAUACUAAAAAGCGGAUUGUGCCACACCGUGCAAUUAAGGUGCCUUUUACUGGAAACUCAAUCCGACUUCUUGUUAUUCCUUCUGAACGUAGCAAUUAAGCCAUAUCUUGUUUUCACUCCUUCUGAACCUAGCAAAAUGGCCUGCUUGGACCGAACGAGGACAGGUGUGUGGUGGUGGACAUAAGAUGCACGGCGAACAUUGAGCCGCAGAAGAACAUUAUGAAAGAGGUUGGAGAGGCUGGAGGAGACCAUAUACCAACACAAAGCGCAUCUUGAUGGCCAUCAAUGAGGAGCUGGACCUGCUACACCAGGCUAAUUGCAAGCAUCAGGAUGAUUUGGACGAGAUGACUGAUGAGGACAUGAGCGUUGUCGGAUGAUUUGGACGAGAGGACUGUAGCACGACGCAAUGAAGAGCCAGAUCGUCCGUCCGCUCCCAGCUCACUUCCCAGUUCUGUUGUGCUGCCCCGUGCACCAACCAUCCAGUAAAGGUUCUGUGGUUAACAUCUCUUUUGCGAGUUUCAUAUAACUUUCGUUGUCACUUUAUUAUCUAUUGAUCCACAUGUUUGUAUUUUAGCAGACAUGAGUACUUUAUCAUCUUUCCAGGAAGAAAUUACAAGAGAGAAGAAAACUCAGCUUUAUAAGCAGUGACAGUCCAACAUCAUAUUGACAUGUCUGGUUUCUCUUUCCACAAGCAGGGUCGAGUGGGGUGAUAUACUAGGCGCUUUCUUCUAAAUUGUACAGGAAGUCCACUGAGUUAUUGUUGUUUGUAUGCCACCUUAGAGCGAAAUAGUACUUCUUUUAAUCAUUUUUAGGUGAAAUACAAGCAUGUAGCUACCUCACUUAAUUAUAGUACUCACUUGAAGUUUAUGUUGAUACAAUGCACUACUUAAGUAGUAGAGAAACCUCACAAAAUUAAAUUGAUGAAUGAUAUUUAGGAAAAGAAGUAGGCAUGUUUCAUUAUAAAGGGAAAGUCUUUUUCAAGGCAUAGUGUUUAAUUCACGAAUGGUUAAACAGUUUAACGGGGACCAACACUGGGUAGUAGGGGAGUGGCAGUGCAUAGAGACAUAGUGAGGGGAGCGAGGGCGAUGAUGGAGGCGGAGAUGUUUAGAGAGAGAUAUAGAGAGUGGGAGGUUUACCAUGGUGCAAUCGAAAACCGAGGCACGCCUUUCUAAGACAAGCACACUUUAAAACAUAGCAAUACUCUGCAUUGUUUUGAUGUUGGUAUCAGGACCAGGUACCAUGUGAAUCUCAAGGAAUGGUUGUAGAUCAUUAUGGAUAAACUGAAAAAAAUAUCAUUAUGGAGUACAUUAUAAACGGCAUUUGGUGUCGGCGGCAUGUCACUACCACUGACAAAGUUCUCUGAAACACGAUUACUAUCAUGUACAAUGCUUUACAGUUCUCUCAUAUUCAAAUGCUAAAAUUCUGUAAUUUCAUAUUUAGUAGUUUCUGCGGUGUGAAAUUCAUGUUUUAUUUUGCUUGUGCAGUUGAAAAUAAAUGCUGGAAAAGAUAUUAAAAUUCAAAUCUGGCUUAUUUUUCUCAAUAUGGGUUCAGAAGGAAAUUGUCGUUGAGCUUCUAUCUAACGGCACUUUUUCAUUAGAUUUCAGCAGCGGCUGAUGGCAGCAACCUCAUGGGCCACACAUCCCCUUCUUUAAUUGCAUGCCCUCACAAAAUGGAUGGGGACUUGGUUCUUUGGUUGUCGCCGCCAGACUCGGUGAAGGACGAAAAACUGAGAUGAUCCAGUGGAGAAUAGAUGCCACGGGCUGAAGAAAGGAGGCGACGGUUUCAGAGCACACACCUUGAAGCGGAGAGGCGGCAAGGGAGUGCAUCUGGAUGGCAGAGGGAGCGGGACAAGGCAACAUCACAUGGGAGGCAUGGUCAAAAUAGGCGUCGUAGGAGCAAUCAUGCGUGUGGGGGUCGUACCAGGGAGAAGGAAAAGGGUGGUCGGUUUUCUAGGGCUUUUUUCCUUGCAUCGGGAAAUGGGUUCGGUUGAAAAAAACGAUGAUGUGGGGAGAUCACGCGAGUGGUGGAUACGUGGGUACCAUUUAACGUACCAACUAUGCUUUAAUAGUAGAGAUUAAGAUGUUGAUAUUUUAUUCAUUUUCUUCUUAGCUGAACAUUCUUUAAACCAAAAAUCUAUGAAACUUGUAAUGUAGCAUGGUCGCAAUUUGUGAAGUAGAACUAACUAUCCUUUAACCAUUCAUCAAUUUUUAUGUACUUGUCGCCCGUGACAACAAAUAUGGAUCAAAUAACUAUGCACUAUGGGCACUAAUAUGGUUACCUUCGAAUGGGUUUGUUACUAUGUUUAGUUACUAUGAUGUUUCAUAUGUUCAUCAGAAAAAAUAAAGGCUUAUUUACUUGCAUGUGCUUUCUCAUGUUUGUUUGUUUUUUCUUCUGGUUGUUCCUUUUCUAUAAUUGUCACAUAAAGUGAACCGAAACUCAUAUUCUAUAUUUCUGCUGUGUAGAUACCUGUGAGCCCGCUGUUUAACUCGCUAAAAAUGGAGAUAGACAUGGAUUUAACGGUUCUCAUUCAUUUAAAUCUUAGUGAAUUGACGCUAGUUUCCAUUUGGAAUUGAGAUAACGAGGAAUCGUUUCCUUCAUGAUACUGCAUGUAUGAGCUUUUUUCUUUCGGUGUAGGCCAAUAUUGUACAAAGUUAUUUCCUAAAAUUAUAUUCGAAGGUGUCUUCUAUGAGAGUAACCAUCUCAAUCUUUUUUCUA